rnacentral:RNase_P_RNA from 1 species
UGGGUCGGCUGGACGGUCGCGUCACGGGUUCUCCCGUGCCGAGGAACGUCCGGGCUCCACAGGGCAGGACGGUGGGUAACGCCCACCCGGAGCAAUCCGCGAGACAGUGCCACAGAGAGCAGACCGCCUCGACCCCUCGGGGUGCGGGGUAAGGGUGAAAGGGUGGUGUAAGAGACCACCGGGGUCAUGGUGACACGACCCGCGAGGUAAACCUCGUCCGGAGCAAGGCCAGACAGGGGAUGACGACGCGGCUCGCCGAGUCCCCGGGUAGGCCGCUGGAGCGGCACGGCAACGUGUCGCCGAGAGAGAUGACCGUCCACGGGGUUUCGACCCCCGGACAGAACCCGGCGUACAGGCCGGCCCAUUCG